GUAGGUGAACCUGCGGAAGGAUCAUUACUGAGUUCAUGCCCUAACGGGUAGAUCUCCCACCCUUGAAUAUAUAAACCUUUGUUGCUUUGGCGGGCCGCUUCGGCUACCGGCUUCGGCUGGUGAGUGCUCGCCAGAGGACCUAAAACUCUUGAAUUUAAUAUUGUCUGAGUACUAUAUAAUAGUUAAAACUUUCAACAACGGAUCUCUUGGUUCUG
rnacentral:misc_RNA from 1 species